GUUCAGGUUCAUUUCAAUACAAUUUCACAGCCGCUGUCAUGAUCCACCCUAUCAAUCUAGAUCGCAAUCUUUUCUUACAUAUCUGAAAAUCAUGCUUUGUUUUCAUUAAGUUAUCGAUUUUUUUCUUUUUUUCAGUCGUGAUAAUCACCAAGAGUUUUAUGUGUCGGCUUUUUUUUUCUUUAUCAUGCACAUAGAUAAAAAAACUGGUAAAGAUCCGCUAUACAUUGAUCUGUAUAGCCAGUCACUCACACUAUACAUUGAUCUGUAUUCUAUUGUCAGCCUAGUAGAUUCAGAUCAGUAUCAGUUAGGUGUUCAUAACAUUUCAAGAGUUGGUUUUGUGGGUUUGUGAGAGGCCCAUGUAUCUGAUGCUUGGAAAGGAUGAAUUGGAUGGCUGAGUAGAAUCCUGAGAUGAUGGGACAAAACCUUUGUAGAUUUCAGUAGCGGAACGUAAAGAAGAAAGAAUGGCUCCCCUGCUUAAUUUGCUCAGGCGAUAUCAUCUACUGGCCACAUGUGGGCUUCACAGUUGCCAAUUGCUUCAGUCAAUAAAUACAAACCACACCUUUUCUGUUAAUCGGAUUGGCCUCUUUGGUUUAAUUUGUUUGAUAAACCGUGGACACAAUCAACACGAACCUUUGUUAUAACAGAGGCCAACUUGAACUUUAUAUUGGGAUACAUCAAGUAGUUCGAUCGAUUAAAAAAGCCUAAGUACAAAACAUCUACUGGACAAGCUUUAUACAUGUCUUUGCUGAUAAAAGUCGCAGAUAUAGUGUUCUUUCGCUGCAGGGUGGAUUAAUCUUUUUUUAGAACCCGUUUUAGCUUUUAUCAGCGUAUUUGUAUGAGUAUAAAUAUAAUUGAAAUGUUUAUUUGUAUGUGUAGUCGUAUCUGUUCUUAUGAGAAAUGCAAGCACACCUUUCAUAAAGGAACAACAUUUCAAAUGUAUUAACCUUUCAAUACUUUCCCCUAUUAGAAAAUGUCAAUUCAGCCUUUGUAGCUGGCAAAAAUUUUCACAUGUACUGACACAUUGAAUAUGCACAAUAAGUCUC